rnacentral:rRNA from 1 species
AGCGAACGCUGGCGGCAGGCCUAACACAUGCAAGUCGAACGAACUCUUCGGAGUUAGUGGCGGACGGGUGAGUAACACGUGGGAACGUGCCUUUUGGUUCGGAAUAACUCAGGGAAACUUGUGCUAAUACCGAAUGUGCCCUUCGGGGGCAAGAUUUAUCGCCAUUAGAGCGGCCCGCGUCCGAUUAGCUAGUUGGUGAGGUAACGGCUCACCAAGGCGACGAUCAGUAGCUGGUCAGAGAGGAAGACCAGCCACACUGGGACUGAGACACGGCCCAGACUCCUACGGGAUGCAGCAGUGGGGAAUCUUGCGCAAUGGGCGAAAGCCUGACGCAGCCAUGCCGCGUGAAUGAUGAAGGUCUUAGGAUUGUAAAAUUCUUUCACCGGGGACGAUAAUGACGGUACCCGGAGAAGAAGCCCCGGCUAACUUCGUG